CAGUCGCCGCGGUAAGACAGAGGAUGCAAGCGUUAUCCGGAAUGAUUGGGCGUAAAGCGUCUGUAGGUGGCUUUUCAAGUCCGCCGUCAAAUCCCAGGGCUCAACCCUGGACAGGCGGUGGAAACUACCAAGCUGGAGUACGGUAGGGGCAGAGGGAAUUUCCAGUGGAGCGGUGAAAUGCGUUGAGAUCGAAAAGAACACCAACAGCGAAAGCACUCUGCUGGGACGACACUGACACUAAGAGACGAAAGCUAGGGGAGCAAAUGGGAUUAGAUACCCCAGUAGUCCCUGUCUCUUAUAC
rnacentral:rRNA from 1 species